ensembl:lncRNA
AAAGUAAUGUCUCUGCUUUUUAAUAUUCUGUCUAAGUUGGUCAUAACUUUUUUUCCACGGAGCAAGCGUCUUUUAAUUUCAUGGCUGCAGUCACCAUAAAAAGCCUUUAUUGAGAGCCUACUGUUUGCCAGACACACUGGGGCGGUGUGGUGUUCCUGUUCUUUUUGGAGGCUGGGGAGAAGCGUUUGAAGGGUGUCUCCUCUGUGAACAUUUCCUCACUUCCUGGCAAUCCAGGUGGGUGUGUUUUGACAGGCCACGCCCCCUCCCUGUGGUCCUGCCACCUGUGGGUGUGGCCUCAGGCCCUAAGCUUGCUUUCUCAUUGGUGUGUGUGUGAGUAAAGCUGACUGUAACAGCUGGGGGCCUCCUUGUCCCUGCCUCAAAGGUCCAACCUGCUGCUACACACAGAGGCAGAGCCUUCUCUUUGAGACCCCCUCAUCUGAGGAGACCAACUCCAGAUCCCAGGAAAACUGGGCCCCUCACGUAGGCAGACUUACACUGGGCUUGGAAGUAAGUAGCAUCCGUUUCCAGCCAGCACUCAUGGUUUCCCAACCUGUCCCUUGCCUGUGGACCAAACCGAUGUCACCAACUGUCCUCCACUGCUAUGACUGAUGAAAAGAGUAGUUGAUUCCCAAACUAGCUGCUGGUGGGUUUUCUUCCGCUUCUCAGAUGUUUGAGAAAGCCAGGUUCCUCCUCUCUUCCUGCUUUCGGAAAGGCCUCUAGAAGUUUCCUCUAAAUCCUGACUUGCCCCGGGUUUUGUCCCUACCCUUAUUUGGAGGGGUCUCCUGAGAUCUGAGUGCAGCCUACCCCAGGGGACCGGCCACCCAGCUCAUUUGCCUAGCUAGAACCUUUGUGACACUCUGGCAACUUCCAUUGUGGGGUCCAAAUACUGCCUCAAGCUGUUUGCAUAUUGGAAUGUAGGUGGUCCCCAGACACAAAUGCAUUCUGCAUCCUUAAGGUGCCCUGGGGAGGGAAAGAGAAGGGAGCUGCUACCCCAGGAAGUAGGUUGUGUGUUCACUGCCAUGGCAUUUGGAAGAUCUUUUUUUACCGCCCCCCCCCCAACCAAUCUAGCAGGGACUAGAGAAAACAACAAAAAUGGGCACAUGGCUCAGCUGUGGCACGCUCUGCAGAGCCAGUGUAAAAAUAACCAGGGCAGGGGCGGGUGCGGCACUUUGCAGCUGGAUAGUCUGAUCCACAGAGAUCCGUCCCAAGGUCGGGAACUUGGCAGCAUCUCCCGGCCGGGCCUCCAGCCCCCACGAUGGAGCGCCCUGACCCACGUGUUCACCCAGCCCCCAGCCUCUCCACAGCACUGCCUUCCAGGUGACCGGACACAGCGGGAUUUCUCCUGUUCAUGCUGCACAUCUCCUUGGCUAGGAGCCAGCUGUCUUGAGCCUACAGCCGCUUCCCAAGACAAAGCGCCUCGUCUCACUGUGGCCGAACGCGGGCGCACCUGCAGUACAGUCUCACUCAUCGCCCAGACGGCUUCAGCUCAAGCGGCAUGGCCGGGGCUUGUCCCCCCACCCCAGAGCCUCAAGUGCCUACAACGCGCCACCCCACNNNNNNNCUGCUCACCUGUAACAUCCCCACACUUCUCGUUCUCGGACCGCGUCUCACCUUUCUGCCCGGCAGCCCGUUCUGUAGACAUUGUGGAAUCCUGGACACCAGCGUCUAGCAUCCACCGACCCUGUGCAUCCCACCCUGGAGCUGUAUGCCUGUCCCUGUUCCCAGCAGAAUGGCUUCCUUGUAUAUUACACGGUGGCUACUGUUCUCUUAAAGGCUUUUAGCUCACAAAAACUGUUGCCGAUGUGACAAAAAUUAUACUUGAGUCUGCUCUUUUGUUCUCGAAGCUCACGCUUGGCUUUCAAACUGGGUGCAAGCGAUCUUUCCGCCUCACUUAGUGCGGUUGCUUCACUCUUGAUGUGGGUUCUCUCUUGGGUGACCAACUGUCCCCUCAGGCUGCCUGCAACUUAGGAGUUGGUGGAGGAGCUCCCAGGAUGUGGGACUUUGAGUUUCAAAACUGGGACAAUCCCAGGAAAAUCAGGACAAGUUGGUCACUGUAGUUCCCCCAGAUGCAGAGCCUGAGAUGAGGAUUCAGUGCAGAUAGUGUAUCCGUGUGCUUCCAGGAAACACCCUAGGCACGUGAAGAAUUAAAAUAAUAGCGGAGAGGACACCCAUAGAGGGAUCCUUACCAACCAGCUUAUGACUCUGGGUGUGGACCCUCUUUUGUUCUCAGAGCUCAUGCUUGGCUUUCAAACUAGGUUCAGUGACCUUUCUGCCUCACUUAGGACGGUUAUAUUUGUCUUGACCUGGGUUCUAUCUAGGAUGACCAACUGUCCCCCAGGUUGCCUGGAACUUGGGUGUGGGUUGGGGGUCCUCCCAGGAUGUGGGACUUUGAGUUUCAAACUCUCUAGGAAGGAGAGUGGAUGCCCAUCUCAGCGCUCAUAGGGAAGGAAUGGGGGCCGGCACACCAGCUCCACUCAGCCACCGCUUGAGGGUCCCUCUCAGGGGCCUUCACCCCUUGGCAUCUGUGGCCAGCCACGGGUGCACUGGCCGAGCUGACUUCUGCAGCUGGAGAAAGCCACCUGGCAAAGGGCAGGUGCCGGCAGGUCUUCAGCCGCGGUGCGCCGAGCUGAACGGAGCUGAGACGGAGCUGACCCUGAGAGGCGCUGGCAGCACCUGCUGAGGCCUCUCUGCAGCGUCGCUUUCAUCUCUGCUUUUUCUCAGUGGCCACCAGUGAUCCCACAAAAUAUGUCCCUUAGAGAGCCACCGUGCUGCCUGGGAAGCCACCCACACUGACCCCCAAGUCAGGACGCUAAGGCUCCUUCGGAAGUCCUCUAGCAGCUGGCCUCGUUUCUUCAAAAUCAGUCAUCACUUGGCAGAGUCCGGGGAGAACAGUUGAUUANNNNNNNNNNNNNNNNNNNNNNNNNNNNNNNNNNNNNNNNNNNNNNNNNNNNNNNNNNNNNNNNNNNNNNNNNNNNNNNNNNNNNNNNNNNNNNNNNNNGGGGAGAACAGUUGAUUAAAACAGGAACUCCCAAUGGGCCAGAAGCAGCAUGCCAACAGCCCCUCGUGGAAACAAUUCCAGGAGCCAAGAGGCUGAGAUUAAACGGUCAGCCGAAACACUGUUCACGGACAACCCCCAUGGGUGAUUUCUCAACCAGGUUAAUGGCUUUCACUAAGACAGGCCAGCCCUUUUCUCUGAUCACCACCACCGCUCCACGCUGCUGGGGGACAGAGUCCUUUCAGACCUCACUGACUUAACAUGAGCCAGGCACCAGCCACCUUUGUAGGAAACUUGCAGUUGCCUGCUGGGUCCUCUUCAUCCUGCAAAAGCCAGGUGUGUGUGUGAACACGCGCAUCCUGCUGGGAUGGCUGUAUGGGUCUCCUGGUCCCUCGUACAGGGAAAAACAUGCGCAGGGAAGCAGGGACUCAGGGUCUCCCCAGGAGCUCUGAAGGAGAGAAUGAAGUGAACCCUGUGGUCUCUGAGCCUCUGAAGUCCUCUGUCCCACUCCAAGGCACUGAGCUCCCUUGUGCUGUGUGCUAAGUCGCUUCAGUCAUGUCCGACUCUGCGCCCCCAUGGACCGUAGCCCGCCAGCCUCUGCUGUCCAUGGGAUUCUCCAGGCAAGAAUGCGGCAGUGGGUUGCCAUGCCCUCCUCCAGGGGAUCUUCCCACCCCCAGCACCGAAUCCACGUCUCUGAUGUCUCCUGCAUCGGCAGGAGGGGUCUUUACCACUAGUGCCACCUGGGAAACCGCAAGAUGCCACCUGAGCUCCUUUAGGCUCCAUUCUCCUGAAAUGGAGUGAAAACACCGAGUUCCAGCCUGGCUCUGCCAAGCUCUCUUGUUCUUCCAUCCAGCACACUUGCUGUCAUUCCCAUCUGAGUCUCCCUACCGUCAGUCCUUCCUGGGAGCCUCCCGACCACCCACCCAAAGUCCAGCNNNNNNNNNNNNNNNNNNNNNNNNNNNNNNNNNNNNNNNNNNNNNNNNNNNNNNNNNNNNNNNNNNNNNNNNNNNNNNNNNNNNNNNNNNNNNNNNNNNCCGUCAGUCCUUCCUGGGAGCCUCCCGACCACCCACCCAAAGUCCAGCCACCCCAGAUGCCAGGUUGGAGGAAGAAAGGGACACACGUCCCCCAGGAUGUAAUGAGACAUAGGGGAUCUGCUGGGAGGGGAUCCUCUAUUGUGAUCUGGGGUGGAGAAGGAGUCCUGGAUACCCAGGGUGGUGGCCACCCCAGCUCCUGAACCCCUCCCCUGAGAUCUGAGGGACAAGGUACCCUGAUGGCUCCCGCAGCCAUCCCAAGCCAAACUAGCCUCUCCUUUCACUACUCUCAAGGCCCCAAGAUCCUCCCAGACGUGGACACAGGGCUUGUCUGUCCUUCCUACCUGACUUCAGAAUUUCUCCCCCAGAGCCAGAAACCAGGGGGCUGGCUGUCCAGCAGAGGGUGCUGUGGGCAUGCACUGCCUUCCAGAUCCCGGGCCUGUGGAGACAUCUGGGAAAAGAGGAGCAGCAGGGAUGAAGGGAGGCUUUAGAAGCUAUUCCUGUCCCCUGCCAACAGUCUUUUUUUCUCUCCUAAAAAUGGNNNNNNNNNNNNNGCCAAGAAGCCCACUGAAAGGCUGUGCCGGCCGUGUAUUCACCCAUGUGUCCAGACACCAGACCAGCUCACCUGGGACUGCAAAGGAGAGGCGACACCCUGGUCCCUCCCUGCCCUGCCCACGCCUCCCCCUCCCCACCACGGAGAACCCCCUCCUGCCCAUCCCAACUCUGUGCAAACCCGUUUCCUUCAGGACGCCCUUCCAGGCCUCCGGGAGCAGCUUCCUAUUAGUGCAUGCUUAUUAUGCGUGCACGUCUCCCCCAUCGUCCUUGAGAAUCUCUUCCUCCGGGGAAGGGGCGGUGAGGCCCUCCAGGGGCACAGAUCUCAUCCCCUCCAUCAGACCAGGGCGUUUCCCAAACAGGGCUCUGUCUCCACCCUCGGAUGCUGCACUCUCUGAGGCAACUCCUGUGUAGCCCAUGGCCCCUGUUUCGGGACUCUGUUCACAGACGGUGAGCAGACCGGGGCCAGUUCUCUUCCCCCACACUCCCAAGGUGGGGGCAUCUGAGCUGCCCCCAAGUCCCAUGAGCCUGGCACACUGGGCAAGAGACAGAUGGAAUCUGAUCAGUAAGAGCUCACCUCUUUGGAAAGCAGAACAGAAGGCGGGCAGAUGGGCUUUGUAAGGGAUGGAGCCGCCAGCCCUUGGUCUGCCCUGCACCUCUGUCCUGUCCCGCAGGUCCUCUCCUCCAGCUACAUGGUCAUCCGGGACCUGGUCUUCCUCACUGCCUGUCACAAGCAAGGUUCAUUCAUUUGAGAACCAUGAGCAAAUAUGCGUCACUAAAUGCUGAGCCCAUUUUAGACUAGAAUUGAUGCUUCUGAACUGUGGUGUUGGAGAAGACUCUUGAGAGUNNNNNNGACUGCAAGGAGAUCCAACCAGUCCAUCCUAAAGGAAAUCAAUCCCAAAUUUCACUGGAAGGACUGAGGCUGAAGCUGAAGAACCAAUACUUUGGCCACCUGAUGUGAAGAAAGUGAAGUCGCUCAAUAGCGUCAGACUCUGCAACCCCAUGGACCUUAGGCAGCCAGGCUCUACCAUCCACGGGAUUUUCCAGGCAAGAAUACUGGAAUGAGUUGCCAUUUCCUUCUCCAG